rnacentral:rRNA from 1 species
UACGUAGGGAGCAAGCGUUGUCCGGAAUCAUUGGGCGUAAAGCGCGCGUAGGUGGCCCUGUAAGUCCGUUGUGAAAGUCAAAGGCUCAACCUUUGAAAGCCGAUGGAUACUGCAGGGCUAGAGUACGGAAGAGGCGAGUGGAAUUCCUGGUGUAGCGGUGGAAUGCGCAGAUAUCAGGAGGAACACCAGUGGCGAAGGCGGUCUCCUGGGCAUUCUUGACGCUGGAGGUGCGAAAGCGUGGGGAGCAAACAGGAUUAGAUACC